CAAAGAAUACUCAGAAGCAGAGGAGAGAGAAGAUAAUAAUUGUAAGCCAGGCCAAGGAAGGUCCGGGCAGAUAUUUAGAUAUCACAAUGGCAUCACUUACUGGAAUACACAGCAGCGGCGGCGGGCAGCCGUUGAAGGCCAUGGAAGAAGAGCCAUUGUUGUUUGUAUACGCGCUGUUUCGCAAUCUGUUCAACUCAUCUUCCUUUAUUCCUUUCCUCCAGCUGUCGGCCCUGGAUUAUCUUGCUUAAUGUUCUCUAGCACCUUUUGAUAUCCUUUCCAAUUGUCAACUUUGGAAGAAUUCCUGCAGC
rnacentral:sRNA from 1 species